ACCAUCCUAAGGUAGCGAAAUUCCUUGUCGGGUAAGUUCCGACCUGCACGAAUGGCGUAACGAUGGCCACACUGUCUCCUCCCGAGACUCAGCGAAGUUGAAAUGGUUGUGAAGAUGCAAUCUCCCCGCUGCUAGACGGAAAGACCCCGUGAACCUUUACUGUAGCUUUGCAUUGGACUUUGAAGUCACUUGUGUAGGAUAGGUGGGAGGCUUAGAAGCAGAAACGCCAGUUUCUGUGGAGCCGUCCUUGAAAUACCACCCUGGUGGCUUUGAGGUUCUAACCCAGACCCGUAAUCCGGGUCGGGGACCGUGCAUGGUAGGCAGUUUGACUGGGGCGGUCUCCUCCCAAAGAGUAACGGAGGAGUUCGAAGGUUACCUAGGUCCGGUCGGAAAUCGGACUGAUAGUGCAAUGGCAAAAGGUAGCUUAACUGCGAGACCGACAAGUCGAGCAGGUGCGAAAGCAGGACAUAGUGAUCCGGUGGUUCUGUAUGGAAGGGCCAUCGCUCAACGGAUAAAAGGUACUCCGGGGAUAACAGGCUGAUACCGCCCAAGAGUUCAUAUCGACGGCGGUGUUUGGCACCUCGAUGUCGGCUCAUCUCAUCCUGGGGCUGUAGCCGGUCCCAAGGGUAUGGCUGUUCGCCAUUUAAAGAGGUACGUGAGCUGGGUUUAAAACGUCGUGAGACAGUUUGGUCCCUAUCUGCUGUGGGCGUUGGAGAUUUGACGGGGGCUGCUCCUAGUACGAGAGGACCGGAGUGGACACACCUCUGGUGUACCUGUUGUCACGCCAGUGGCAUCGCAGGGUAGCUAAGUGUGGAAGAGAUAACCGCUGAAAGCAUCUAAGCGGGAAACUUGCCUGAAGAUGAGAUCUCCCUGGGGACUCGAUCCCCCUGAAGGGUCGUCCAAGACCAGGACGUUGAUAGGCCGGGUGUGGAAGCGCAGUAAUGCGUGCAGCUAACCGGUACUAAUUGCCCGUGAGGCUUGACCCU
rnacentral:rRNA from 1 species